UGGCAAUGGCACCCCCUUCCCGGCCCCUACAUACUACAGAGUGAAUUUUCCAUUAAGAGCAAAUUGGCAUGAAAUGAUAUGUUGCAUAUGCUUCCAUCAGACUGACAACAUAUUAAACUUUGAAAAUUUUCAUGUAGCCUUAGGCAGCCUCUGUUGUAGCAGAGUGUGAGCAAAGGAGCCAUGAUAUACCAAGUUCCCCC
rnacentral:lncRNA from 1 species